GUGCUCGCGUUGACAGCACACUUAUAAGAAUUGGGUGGAUACAGAGAAGUAUAGCAUGGCUCCUGCACAAGGAUGACAUGUAAAGUCAUAAGCAUUCCACAUUUUC
rnacentral:snRNA from 1 species